CCAGCACCUAGCCCGACGGGGCGAACACCGGGAAACCUUCAGCCCGGCUGGUGCUGGUUUUCUUCAUUGGAGG
rnacentral:sRNA from 1 species